UACAGAGACUGCAAGCGUUAUUCGGAUUCACUGGGCGUAAAGGGUGCGCAGGCGGCCAAGUGUGUUAGGCGUGAAAGCCCGGGGCUCAACCCCGGAAUUGCACCUAAAACUACAUGGCUAGAGCAUUGGAGAGGGUAGCGGAAUUCACGGUGUAGCAGUGAAAUGCGUAGAUAUCGUGAGGAACACCAGAGGCGAAGGCGGCUACCUGGACAAUUGCUGACGCUCAGGCACGAAAGCGUGGGGAGCAAAAGGG
rnacentral:rRNA from 1 species